UUAUAAAGAUUUAGAUCAUUAGAAAAUUUAUAUCUACAGAGUUGUUAUUAAUCAUAAUCAAGUUGUUUAGCCAAAAAAGUUGUAGAGAUUCCAUUAGAAGAAGAAUAUAGUGUGGAUUUUAAUGUAGAAAAAGAUGAAGACAAAAAAGGUUGAAAUAGAUUCAAACUAUUCUCUGACAAAUUGUACUUAGAUUCAUCGUAUUACACGGUUGAAGGGACGAGGAGUGAAGCAUACAUCCCUACCUCUUUCUCAAAAAAAUGGUUACUUUGAUACAUCUUGUAAUAUAGUUGAAUAUAUUUUCAUAUAUUUUCAAAGGGAGAGAAAAGCAUACACUCUUCCCCCUUUUUAUGAAAAAUGGUUUCAUGGGUGCAUCUUGUCACAUGGUUGGAGAGAUAGAGGGGAGGAGCACACACCCAUUCCCCUAAGUCACUGUAUUGACCACUAGCAUAUGUUGUAAAGUAAUGGAAUAUGAUUUUCAAUUGAGAUUUGUAUCUAUAUUAUAUUCUAAAUAUAUUCAUAUCUGCAUUUA
rnacentral:lncRNA from 1 species